GCCAAAUUAGAAAGUUUUUUCAAGAAAAGGAAUGGGCAUAUUGAUAUCCUAAUGGAGGCAAUCCAAAAGCAGUGUGCAUCUCUGCCUGAGACUGCCUCAGAGAUCAAAACGGUACUUGCAGUGUACGACUUUAAAACCAAUCAAAAAUAUUCAAACUGCAUAUCUCACCCUCAGUCUCUCUAACAAUCUCUUUAUUCCUGACAGGUCAUUGUGAAAAUAGCUUACGACAGUGUUUCCAAAGUGUACCUGGAUUGCCUGAUGAAGACAAACUUCAGAAACCUAGAGCAGCGUUGGGGAAAUGCUGAGGAAAAGAUAAAAGAGGAUGUUCAAUAUUUUCAAGAAACAUUCUCUGAACUGAAUGUCAGUGCUAACCAGCAGAACCAGCUCCUUCAGAGAAUGAGUGAAGUUUUAAAUUGCAGUGAUGUAGAAGCACUGAAGAUUACCUGUUGUUAUUUGUUCAGAGAUUUCCCUCAGGAAAGUGAGCAGUAUGUACCUGGUCUGCUGCGCUGGAAGGGGGUUUUAUCAGAGCGACAGGUGAGGGAAGUGCUGGAUGUGAGCCAGGAACUUGGCCUAUAUCCAAGUGAUACAUAUAUCACCUGUUGUCCUAUGAAGGGACUUUUUUGUUGUAAAUAGCUUGCAUCCUAUAGUCACAUGAAAAUCAAAGACUGCCUUUAAUAAUGGGAACUGCAGAAGCACUGUCGUUUACUGCCUCUGAACCAAACAGAAAUAAAUGCAGGCCUAUCAAGAUGAUCGACUUGAUGUGAAAUGGGCCAAAGAUUUCCAAGCCAACUUGCAGGACUGAUCCACAUUUACCAGAACUUUUAGUGAUGUUGAAGACGAAGAUUAGCUUAUAUUUUCAAGCAAAGAUAUUUGCUCUAUGGUCAUUUUGUUUACACAAUAGAUAAAAAUGUUUUUGUUUUAUUUGUUUAUUCGUCUUUUUUGUAGUUCAGUUGGUAAAAGUAAGAUAUAGAGAUGAAGAAUGUUCUCCAGACAUUGUGCUAUUUCUGUCUUGUAGUAUUGAAAUCUAAUGUAUAUUCUAUCACAAGGUCCUAAAUCUUCUCUUCACUCCUGUUUACAUUGAAUGCAGGCAUCAAAGUUGCAGACCUACUUUUUGUGUGAAUUUUUUUCCCAGUCUGUCUGAAAUAAAAUAUUUGUAAAAUGUGUCCAACCAUGAAUUCAUGUAGCCUACUU
rnacentral:lncRNA from 12 species